AGUAAAUAGAUACCCGGGUAGUCCCAGCUGUAAACGAUGCUAGCUAGGUGUUGGGUCGGCCACGCGCCGCCCCAGUGCCGCAGGGAAGCCGUUAAGCUAGCCGCCUGGGGAGUACGGCCGCAAGGCUGAAACUUAAAGGAAUUGGCGGGGGAGCACCACCAGGCGUGAAGCCUGCGGUUUAAUUGGAGUCAACGCCGGAAAUCUUACCGGGAUCGACAGCAGAAUGAAGGCCAGGUUGAAGGUCUUGCUAGACGAGCUGAGAGGAGGUGCAUGGCCAUCGCCAGUUCGUGCCGUGAGGUGUCCUCUUAAGUGAGGUAACGAACGAGACCCCCACCCAUGUUGCCAUCAGGAUCUAAAGGAUCGCUGGGCACUCUUGGGGGUACCGCUGCCGACAAGGCUGAGGAAGGUGGGGGUCCACGGUAGGUCAGUAUGCCCCGAAUAUCCCGGGCCACACGCGGGCUGCAAUGGUAGGGACAGAGGGCUGCAACAUCGAGAGAUGGAGCCAAUCCCUAAA
rnacentral:rRNA from 1 species